AGAUUUGCUCUAAUUCAAUCUUAUUUCAUUUCAGUUGGACUUUUAGCCGUCCUAAACAUACCCAAUCAUUAUAAUACAUGAACGAAGUACAUCUGUUGGACUUUUAGCCGUCCUAAACAUACCCAAUCAUUAUAAUACAUGAACGAAGUACAUCUGUUGGACUUUUAGCCAUCCUAAACAUACCCAAUCAUUAUAAUACAUGAACGAAGUACAUCUUGGUAAAUUAUUGGUCGCAAACUGACAAAGCAGAUGAGGAAACCUAUCUGUUAACACCAGCGGAAAUACAGGCUGACAUCAAAGAUGGAUGUUUAACAUUUGAAGACCCAGGAAGUGAAAUACAUAGAGUGGUAAG
rnacentral:lncRNA from 1 species